rnacentral:rRNA from 1 species
UGGGAAGUCCUCGUGUUGCACUCCUU